rnacentral:pre_miRNA from 1 species
AUGAUGUUUUAACUCUUCGUCUUAUUUGAAAUUUUUUGUGAUUAAUAUUUUAUUUUUAUUAGAUGAUAAAACAUGAACAAUAUUUUAUGCGCGACUAAUUUUUUUUAAGUUUUUAUACAAAUUUUUCAAUAAGACGAAUGAUCAAACUUUGACAUAGAAAAACA